GACGUAGGGCGCGAGCGUUGUCCGGAUUUAUUGGGCGUAAAGAGCUCGUAGGCGGCUUGUCGCGUCGACUGUGAAAUCCCGCGGCUCAACCGCGGGUCUGCAGUCGAUACGGGCAGGCUAGAGUUCGGUAGGGGAGACUGGAAUUCCUGGUGUAGCGGUGAAAUGCGCAGAUAUCAGGAGGAACACCGGUGGCGAAGGCGGCUCUCUGGACCGAGACUGACGCUGAGGCGCGAAAGCGUGGGGAGCAAACAGG
rnacentral:rRNA from 1 species